UGUCCCUUGUCAUCCUUUGAGUAUAAGCUAUUGGAUCUGAUGUUUUAUUAUGCUCUUCUUGCUUUGACAAGCUAGAUGUGCUCCGCGUUAACUGCUUACAGAGUGCUGAUUCUCAACAACUUAUUAAUUUCCUCUAUGAGUGCUGAUUCUGUAUAUGCUUUUCUGCUUCCCGGGCUACGCAAAUCAGAUAGUGUCACUGGGUAGGAGAAAGUUCAGCACAGAUUUUCAGACUGCUAAAGGCGUUGAUGUUCUUUGGAUUUAUAGUGACGGUUAGCAUCCUCUUUAUGUUUGUGAAUCUUAAAGUUGGUGACAUCUUUGCGAGCAAAGAGCACAACAGCUGAUCCAAAUGCAUUGAUUGAUGAAUGGAGAAUACACAAGAAGCAAGUUAUGGCUUCAUGACCUUGCUGGAAGUGAGAGAUUAGCCAAGCCAGACGUUUAAGGAGAUCCGCUGAAAGAAACUCAAAUUAUUAACAGAUCCUUAUCUGCACUGGGAGGUGUGAUAGCAGCGCUGGCGACCAAAAUCCCACAUAUUCCUUUCAGGAAUUCAAAGCUCACUCACUUGCUCCAAGAUUCUCUAGGGUGACAAUUGCUUUUCAAUAAAGCAACAACUUGUAACAUACAGAAGCAGCUGUAAACUGGAGAAUGUGGACCAAGUUGAAGAAAAUCU